AGACCCCGCCCCCGGCCCCCUCGCCGUCGGUGCUGCGCUCCCGCCCCAAGGUGUUCUCCAAAUUCAGGCCGAAGUGAGCUUCUGCGGACGCGAUUACCUCGCCGAAUCCCGCAGCACCUGCUGGUCGGGGUACCCAGCUAACGCGUCACACGGAGAAAGGGCCGGCUUCCAGGGCGACCACACCGCGCGGCCCGCGGGGCAGUUCUACAUGCAAAGCAACGAAACGUCUCCUGACCUCGCCAGGCCGAAGCAGAAGCGACGGGCAGGAAGCGACGCAGAUUUUCAUCGGAAUGCCAACCUGCCCCGGCCCAGCCCGCUGCCUGUGGCGCCUGGAAGCUUUCCGCGCCCCGCCCCGCCUCCUACCCUGCGUCCAGGCCGUGCCGGGCCCUUCCUGCCCAUACCCUGCGGGCACGUUUUCGGAGGCCGUUCGCAGAAAGACCACCUCCCCGCCCCUUAUUCUCUGCAAAGGCGGCUCCAGCGAAAUCCUCGACAGACCGCAAAUAUACAUUUAAAUGUUACAGUCCCCCAGUUCCCCACUCUGCCCCACUCACCUCCUCCUCGGUAACACGUUAGCGCAAGGCCCGUGUGCACUCGCCUUCCCGCUCUGGCUUCAGGGCAGGGGGCUCUGGAAGGAAGGGUGUAUGUGUCGAGGGGCGUAGCGGGGUGGGGAACAGAGAAGGUUCUGAGGGACCGAGGUCCUAACCUAGGAGAGAGUAGGGACAGCAGAAAAGCAAGGCCGAGUAAAGACCCAAAGUGGCCUCUGCGGGAGAAACAGCAGGUUUCCACUUUGAUGAGCGGGAACACAGCGCCAGGCCUCGAUGGAUAGCAGCGUUAGGUUGGCAAGAAUAAUUUUCAAAGAUUGAAAUGCGUACCUUUAAUACCUUGUUUUCUUGCUAUAACACUUUUAAAAUACGUCAGUGCAUUACAGUUCUUGAUUCUAUAGAGUUAAACUAGUUGGCAAAAAUAAUUUUAAGCUGUUCUACAUAAACAAGUACGGGACUUAGGGAAUCUAUGGUGGAAAGCAAAGAUGAUUUUAGUUAAGAGCUCCACAGAUGAGAAUGAUAGCCAGUUAAUAAAACCGCCUUCUGGGAGUCUUCAGUUUGAAUAUUCUGAUCUAGAUAAGCAAAUUCUAGAGCUUCUUGCCACCUGGAACCUUAUGACCACAUCUCCCUGAGCAGGGCACAGGGAACAGGCUUCUUUUGUCCUGACUGUCACAGGGCAAUGCCUGUAGACACCUGCACCCUCCCCAGCUCCCAGGUGGCCGUCCAAUGGCUACUUACCAGUUUUGUGAAAACCGCAUAGGGAAGGGGUUAGGUGGCUCUGGAAUUAAACCAUCUGUCUCA